UACGUAGGUGGCGAGCGUUGUCCGGAAUCACUGGGCGUAAAGGGCGCGUAGGCGGCAAUACAAGUCGCAUGUGAAAGACCAGGGCUCAACCUUGGGAGGUCAUGCGAAACUGUAUAGCUUGAGUGUAGUAGAGGAAAGCGGAAUUCCUGGUGUAGCGGUAAAAUGCGUAGAGAUCCGGAAGAACACCGGUGGCGAAGGCGGCCUGCUGGGCAGUUUUGCUGACACUGAGGCGCGACAGCGUGGGGAGCAAACAGG
rnacentral:rRNA from 1 species